AGGGCAACACCCACCUACUCCAGCAGCUCCAUACCAGCAGAGCUACCAGUGUAUGAUUCCAGCCCAAGGGAGCUAUGGUUGCAAGAACCAGAGACACUGCAGGGGGACAGGGCUGCCUGGAGCCAUUAGGGGCCCAAACCCUGCUAGGCAAAGCCGUGGGGGCAACACGGCCAUCUCAAUGGGUCUAGAAGGUGAGACUCUCACUCCAGUGGGUCUGGCAGGCAGUACCCCUACCCCAGUGGGUCUGGAAGGGAGGAGCUCUGCCCAGUGGGCCUGAAGGGCGGAAUAUCAAGUCACAAAAGAUUAUUCUUGAAUGUUAAGGUUUAUUACUAUUUGCCCUUUUGAAGUUUUGACUUACUUGGGGCCUGUUAUCCCUUUCUUCUUUCCUAUUUCUCCCUUUUGGGAUGGGAAUCCUAUACCUACCUAUCCCACAAUUAUAUUUUGGAACCACAUAACAUGUUGGUUUCACAGGUUCACAGCUGGAGAGCAAUUUGCCUCAGGAUGAACAGUAUCUUGAAUCUCAUUCCUACUGGAUUUAGAUGAUAUUUAGAUGAGAGUUUACACUUAAGACUUUAAAGUUGAUGUUAGAAUGAAUUAAGACGUUUAUGGCUAAUGAGAUAGAAUGAGUAUAUUUUGCAUAUGAAAAGGACAUGAAUUUAGUAGGGGUCAGAGGAAGAAUGCUAUGGACAAUGUUUGUGUCUCCCCAAAAUUACUAUGUUGAAACCUAAUCCCCAGUGUGAGGGUAUUUGGAGGUGAAGCCUUUGGAAAGUAAUUAGGUCAUGAAAGUGGAGCCCUCAUGAAUGGAAUUGGUGACCUCAUAAAAGAGGCCCCAUAGACAUUCCUGGUUGCUUCUGCCAUGUGAAAACACAGCAAAAAGACAGCUGUCUAUGAAACAAGAAGUAGGUCCUCACCAGACACAGAAUCUGCCAGCACCUUGACCUUGGAUUUUCGAGCCUCCAGAAUUGUCAAUGUCACCAUUCUGAAGCUGGACUUGCAGUUCACUGGGAAGCAUGACACCACAGUACCUCCAGCUGUGGACGCAUCAUGGACAAGGCAGGCUGACAGGAGAACUUCUCAUUACUUGCAACACAGCAACAUUGGGUUCAAUGUAUGCCCAUGAAAAACCUCAUUUAAGAGAGUGCCUUGGAAAGGUGCCAAGGUCCCCAAACUGAUUAACUUUCAUCUCUCCUGUCCCUCUGCGCACAGAGGGCCUGCCCUCUGCGCCCUCUCUCCAUGAGGAACAUUAAAGACAGAACAUCAGCUUGA